rnacentral:rRNA from 1 species
GACAGAGGUGCCAAGCGUUAGGCGGAAUCACUGGGCUUAAAGCGUGUGUAGGCGGAUGUCUAAGUACCUUGUGAAAUCCCACGGCUCAACCGUGGAACUGCUUGGUAUACUGGAUGUCUUGAGCCAUCUAGGGGCUACCGGAACAAAUGGUGGAGCGGUGAAAUGCGUAGAUAUCAUUUGGAACGCCAAUGGUGAAACCAGGUAGCUGGGGAUGUGCUGACGCUGAGACACGAAAGCCAGGGGAGCAAACGGG